rnacentral:lncRNA from 1 species
UCAGCAGUAGAUUAGGCCAUUUCAUUUCUGCCAUAUAGAUAAGGCUAGCCAUCUUAGUAUAAAAAAAAAUAAAAACUCCAACCCCCUCUUUCUCUGUCUCUCUAUCUCUCUAUCCAUCUAAGAAUGGGCAUUGAAUCUCCUCUACUUCUUCUUUUAUCUCUUUCUUUCUCUUCUUUCUCCAUGGCCGAUGAUUGAGCUGCACCAACAAUUGC